AGUGUGAUUGAGAAUAAAUAAGCUUUACAAUAUGAAUUUUUAAUGAAGAAAUGUGCUAUAUGUUUUAAAAUCCAUGUUUAGCUGUGAAAUGUCUCCACACUGUCAUAUUAAAUGUCACUCAGGUGUGUGCAGUGGCGCUUUUAUUGCUCAAAUGUCAGAACGGUGUUAUUAGACACAUUUCUUUCUAAGAAAAGCAGCAGUUUGAGACAAGAUUUCAGUUUAAAUUUAGUCUGACUCAGAAUAGAGCUCAGAGAAGUUUGAACUUCUUCACUCACAUUUUUUUAUUUGAUUCAAACGUCCAUCCAGAUCAGCUCAAAAGUAAACUGUCUCAAAUUUAACAGGAAGCUUCAACAAAACUAGAUCAGUUUCAGCUGAGUCCAUUCCAAGAAAAACACAAUUCAAAGACCAUUAAUGACAAAAUAUGGCGGAUUUCCUGUAGACAUUUCAAACUGCUUCAGGUUUUAUUAAAAAAAAUCACAUGAAGGUCACAUUACCAUAAAACAGCCAUCAUCUCAUCCCUGCAUCCAGUCAGCUCAUCUGGUUUUCCAUUUCCAGUGUUACUCUGUGGCACUUUAAGCUUUAGUCUAACAUCUGAGGUUCCUCAGUUGUUUGUUUGUCUCUGGUUUGUCCUUCCUGUCCCAGUCUGACCUGUCCUCGCCGUCCCUUCAUAGGCCUAUAACUGUUUGAAUGUGACACAGCUGAUGAAGUUAGUGUUUUCCACUUUCAUCAUCCUCCCAGCAAUAAAUCAUGACCUUCCUCCUCCUCUUCCUUUAAGUGCAUGUUCCCAAGUCACUGCUGAGCCAAGCAACUACACAUGGUGGAGGAUAUUUAGUAAUAAUGCUAAUAAAAAAGAGCCGUUAGAAAAGCAAAGCAUUUUAAUUCCAUUUAAUCAGGAUAAAAAGGUUCAAUUUGGGUCUGGGCUUUCUUAGAAAGUGUAAAACGACAAUAAAUAAGAACAAAACUAUGAAGCAGCUGAAUUCAAUAAUUACUGGGUUUUUUCUCAAGGUCAGACCUGAGUAAAAUGACCUGAAACUAAGUAGGAUUCAUGACGAGUCCCAAAUAGUAUGUCUCACCAGGUUGGAGCAAACUGAGUCCAUCUUUGACCAUCGGUUUGUCUUCAUGGUCCAGGCCAUCUGAUGCCAUCUUCUCUUUAACUCAGCUCACAGGUUUUCUGUAGGUUUUAGGUUUGGGGACUGAGAUGCUCAUGGAAGAAGGUUGGUGUUUAAGAUCGUUAUUCUGCUGAAAAUCAUGACAGUAUGGUGGUAUUUCUAAGAGUUAAUGAUGUCAUACACUCUAAUAAAGUUCCCAGUACCUUUGGAAGAGAAACGGACCCACAGCAUCACAGAUUGACAACUGUACUUAACAGUGGACAUGGUGCUUUUCUUCAUAUUCAUCCUUUGUUUUAUGCCAGACACACCUGGUUACUGUUGAAAAGCUCAAUCUAGGUUUCACCUGAUCAUUUCUCCACAAUAUGUUUUAUCUAAGCCAAAUUUCAUGCAACAUACCAAAUCAGACCACCCUUAGAAACCCAUCUGAAGGCACCUCUGCCCUUACCAUUCUCCUCAGUGUGGACCCAGUCUGGAUGGUAAGUGGCUAAAAGAAAUGGGCCUGUGUGUCAGUCUUAUAUUUACUGCUGGGAAACAGGAAAUCAUAAAUUGCUAAUUAGAAGAUCAUAUUGUCUUAUUGACUUUAAAAAGAUCUACCCUGCCCCCUUGUUCAUCACCAAACCAAGAUUCUUACACAUAAUCAUUAUUUUCUAGCGUUUUACUUAGAAUUUCUUUAAUUAAACCCUCCUAAACUUUAUCAAUGAAAGCACCAAAGCUAGAGCUUAACUAGAUGACUGAAACCAAUAAAAAAACUGCAUCAAUCUAUUGUUUUAAAUGUAUAUUUAAAGCCUGAUAUUUAAGUACAGUAGACAUUUGGCUUUCUUGACUUCCCAGAUGGUUCGCUCCAGAACUUUGUAGAUUUUAGGAGCAGGUAGACAGAGGGAGGCGGGUCCUCUGUCACACAGGUGUGCUGGAAGCUUCAAAUGAAAUGUGAUCAGCAGAGAGGAGAAACAUGGGGACAGUGAAAUGAGAUGUAAGAAUGAUUAAAUGUCAGCUAAAUAUGAAACCGUGGAGGCUUCAGCACAGCUGAAUAACAACAAUGAGCUGUAGCUGUUGGUGUCUGGAGGAUUUUCUGACGCAGUCUGGAUGGUUCAUCUGGAUCAAUCAGAGUCCAUCUUGUACCGCCCAACAUUCUUCCACUGGUUCUGCUGCUUCAGAGGAGACACCCAGACCUCCAUCUCCUGGCCUCCUCAGAGCAGAACCCCAGUUGUUCUAAAGAACUUCCUUCCACUCCUUGAUGUCGGCGCUGGUGAGUCCAGUUCUGCUUGGAGUGGAGAUGAACAGUUCAUGUUUGAAGGAGCUCCACCUGAUCUUAACAUUUCCUGCACAGAAAAAUCCCACUGAAACAUUUCUGAGUGAAUGUUGACCUUUUGACCUGCCUAAAAGCUCCUCGUUGAAAAAUAAACAUCAGAUUUUACUAAGCAGACGAUCAGAGGUUUACAUGCAACAUUUUAAUUUGGUCUUAUUGAUUUGCUCUUUUCCCAGACUUUACAAACAAUUCCCCAAGUUUCACUCUUUGAGUUUUCAAUUAUACAUACAGGUUCAGAUAUUUACAUACACCCAGUGAUAUUUGAAGAAAUGUUUCUGAGCAAGUUGCACCUCAAUGACCCACAUUAAAAAGCAGGAUUGGUAGAGAUCAUCAGAAACCUAUCUGGUCCAGAACAUGAAGGUUGGACAGGGUUAGGGUCAGAGCUUUGAGAAGGCCAUUCCAGAACAUAGUGUUUUAUCCACUCCAAAACCAGCUUGGUUGUGUUUGGGAUCAAGCUUUGUUUAAUGCAUCACUGACGGUGAACUAGCUCCAUAGGAUGAUGCUACCAGCACCGUGCUCGACAGGUGAUGGCGUUCUUAAAUUUGGAAGCCUCACCUCCACUCCUCCAGACAUACUUCUUGCCGUUAGAGGCCAACAGCUCAGUCUUUAUCUCAUCCUUUCCAUUAGACAAAUGUUUAUUUGAAAAGAGUUUUACUAUUAUUAACAACCAGGUCAGAAUAAAACAGCAGCAAAUGUAAACAGUUGAUAUGAAAUGAAAGGAAAAAUGUUUUCAGUGCAACUGAUCGCUGUAAACUUUUUCUCUUUAACACCAAACACACAAAUAAUUACAGAAAAAAGCAAAGAAAUCCCAGCCAGGAGGGAAAGUUUAAGGAAUAUCCAACACAUCCUUGGUGUAAUCUGGUCACUGCUUCAUUUACUGCUAAUAGUGUAAGAAUCUGUCUGCUCCUCAUGGAUUAGCCCUUUAUCUGCAGGACGUUUAGUCAUUAGACCUGAAGAUGAGCUGCAGGAACAGUUUUUAUUCUAAGAAAAGGAUCCAAGAUCAAACUAACUGCAGUUCAGACCAUUAGCAGCAGCGCCACGACCCGACUCGUCUCCAGGACAAAAAAAACUUGCUCUCACUAAAAUAAACGAUUUUUUUCAGGCUGUAAUAACUUAUGAGGUGAAUUUUCCUGCAUGUGAUAAUGCAUUUAUUGUUUGCAUGUUGUCUUGCACAGGAAACGGUCGUUAAAUGUUAAAGAAAAAGUUUCUGCCUGCAGCAGGCGGCCGGGUUUACAGAAAAGUAAUUCUGAAACAGGAUGAAGACUAACAGCUGCUGAGAAGAAAUUCAAACUCAACCUUUUACUGAGCAAAGUGAGCUGAUUGUAAACCAUCAACCUGCAUCGGAUCCUGUUGGUUCCUUCAGCCUGUAACGAUUAGCCAACAUGUCGUAUAAAACCAUCUAAAUGUUUCCACAGCAGGAAGUGGGGACGGCACCGUCGAACGGGCUGCAGAGCUCUCCUUGCACAGAAGCACCACUGUGAUGCCGAGCAGAGUUUGGACCAGGACCGGCCCGGUGC